GACGAACGCUGGCGGCGUGCUUAACACAUGCAAGUCGAACGGAAAGGCCCUUCUUUUGUGGGGUGCUCGAUUGGCGAACGGGUGUGUAACACGUGUGUAACCUGCCCUUGACUUUGGUAUAUCUUCAGGAAACUGGGUCUAAUACCGGAUAGGAUCUCCUGCUGCAUGGUGUGGUUUGGAAAUUUUCGGCGGUUGGGGAUGGUCUCGCAGGUUCUCAGCUUGUUUGUUGGGUAGUUGCUUACCAAGGGUUUGACGGGUAGCAGGCAUGAGAGGGUCACCGGCCAAAUCGGGACUGAGAUACGGACCAGAAUGCAACGGGAGGCAGCAGGGGAGAAAAUUGAACAAGGGGAGGAAGCCAGAGGCAGAAACGCGGCGGGCGGGAAGACGGCCUUCGGGUAGUAAACCGAUUUAGCCUGAGACGAAGCGAGAGUGACGGUAAUGGGUAAAGAAGCACCGGCUAACUACGUG
rnacentral:rRNA from 1 species